AGACAUGAGGGUGUUCUGGAUGAGGCAUCUGUCAUCUUGUUGACUUCCAAAUUGAUUUAGCUGAUCUGGCUUACUUGGCGGGCACCCUUUCUUCCCUUACCAAAAGCUCCAUGUCCACCCAUCCCAAAGCUGUAUGUCUUCAGUCAAGGAAACACCAGUAGCUGUGCUCUUCCCUUAGAACCUUCAAACAAGCUCUCAAACACCUGUCUUAUCUAGAAGCACCCUAGCAGCCACUCUAGGUAUCGGGGCACUCUGGCCCAGAUAACAU
rnacentral:snRNA from 1 species